rnacentral:tRNA from 3 species
GCGCGCAUAGCUCAGCGGUAGAGCGCUUCGUUCACAUCGAAGAGGUCGUAGGUUCGAGACCUACUGCGCGCACCA